GGCGCUCACGGUGAGGAAGCCCGGAGCUCCCGGGACGCAGACAGGGUGUGCAGGGCCGUAGCUCGGGCUUGUGUAUGCGCGUGUGCGUGUGUGAGUGUUUCACGCCGGGACAAGGCGGCGGUGUGCGCGGCGAGAAGGCUGCGACAGCCGUAUAGACCCCAGCUGCAGUGAAAUGGCCACCAAAAAGGGAAGGGAUAAUCGAGUGGUGGAAUAAAAUCUGCAAACAGAAAAAGCACAGACCUGUUUUCGGAACGAGGCUUUUCGAGUUACCACCAUGACUGAAGGCUAAGAGCAACUUGCUUGCGGAUUAAAGAUCACUUGGAGAGAGAGGUCCAGUGAGCAACAACGGCCAGAAAUUUCAGGGAGACCAUCUUGGAACAUCCAGCCUCCGCCAAGCCAACAGCUGACAGCUGUCACAUGAAUAUGAUCAGCAGAAGAACCACUCAGGCAAGCCAAGCCCAAAUUGCCAACCCCCCCAAAUAAUGAGCUAAUUAUUUUUUGUUUUAAGCCAUAAACUUUUGAAGUGGUUAUAUAGCAAUAGAUAACUGAAACAGGUGUUUAACUUUCCAGACUUUUUAAAUGACCAUAUUGAUAUAAUUGUUCAACCUGUUUUGUAAAGUGAUUUCUCUGAUACAGUAUCUUGAAAAUAUUCCUUAUCCUUAACUAUUUUCUACAACUUUGCAUUUGUCUAUCUUAGUAUUAUAUUACAUGGAUAUGUGGUAAUUUAUUUAACUACUAACUUCCCUUUGCGAUACCUUUUCCUUGCUGUGUAGCUCCCAUGUCUUGACCAACUUUACAUUCCCCUCUAGGACCUUAUGGG
rnacentral:lncRNA from 1 species